rnacentral:rRNA from 1 species
UACUUACUUUUUAAGUCGAGAUUUUUUGCCGUUUCGGGUACAAUUGAGACAGGUGGUGCAUGGUUGUCGUCAGCUCGUGUCGUGAGAUGUUGGGUUAAGUCCCGCCAACGAGCGCAACCCUUGUGUUUUAGUUGCAAACAGGUCAAGCUGUGCACUCUAGACAGACUGCCGUGGACAACACGGAGGAAGGUGGGGAUGACGUCAAAUCAUCAUGCCCCUUAUGAUCUGGGCUACACACGUGCUACAAUGGCCGGUACAACGGGCAGCGAAGGAGCGAUCCGGAGCGAAUCCUAAAAAGCCGGUCCCAGUUCGGAUUGCAGGCUGAAACUCGCCUACAUGAAGUUGGAGUUGCUAGUAAUCGCGAAUCAGAAUGUCGCGGUGAAUGCGUUCCCGGGUCUU